rnacentral:ncRNA from 2 species
UACGGGGGGGGUAAGCGUUGUUCGGAAUUACUGGGCGUAAAGGGCUCGUAGGCGGCCAACUAAGUCAGACGUGAAAUCCCUCAGCUUAACUGGGGAACUGCGUCUGAUACUGGAUGGCUUGGAUCCGGAAGAGGGAUGCGGAAUUCCAGGUGUAGCGGUGAAAUGCGUAGAUAUCUGGAGGAACACCGGUGGCGAAGGCGGCAUCCUGGGCCGGUAUUGACGCUGAGGAGCGAAAGCUAGGGGAGCAAACGGG